ACAGAGCAUGAGCUUCAGCUCAGCAUCGUCUCGGUGUUGGCACGGAGCAUGCGCCUCAGCCAGCCAUCGUAUCGGUGUUCGCACGGAGCAUGCACUCUGGAAAACCGCCGAAAAAAACCGUCCAAGCCGGGCGGCGGAAGUGCGCGUACGCAGUAAUUGAUGACCUUAUCCCGGACUUUUUCCCUGUUGUUGAAUGGGAUCUUGUAGAGGACAUUGGUCUUGUCCAUGGCCGGGACUGGGUCCUUGGUUUGGGUGAGCAGUUGCCGUACGGUUGAUGUGGGCCUGUGUGCCACUCUGAUGCCCAGCAGUCAUAGAAGUCUUGCGAAUAGAAGACAAAACAGAAGUGGAACGCUCUCAUGGUGCUGCAUCCUGAGCUACAUCUUCGAGAUCUCCAGCUUCCACUUCCCCCUCAGCAACAAGUUAUUGUGGAUCAGCUAUAGGAAGGUCUUCAUAGUGGGACUCAAGCAGCUCUUCAACAUCCUCAGUCUCCACUUCUUUAAAUCCAAUGUUCUUUGAUUCCUUGGAGCCCCUCUGAUGGAUCAAGGGUUGUUAAAAUCUUGAAAAAAUCUGGGAGAAGCUUCCACCAAACUGCAUGCCAGCAGUCCUUACUGGCAUCACCCCAGACCUCCAUGAUAAUGUCAAUUACAUCCUUGAUGUUAAAGCUCUUCCAAAAUUGAAGAACACUGUCUUUGUCUCCCUCAGUGGCUGCAAUCAGCCUCUUAAAUGUGCCUCUUAAAAGCUGCUAUUGACCUGGCCCAUGGGUUGAAGGAAAGAGGUUGAGUCUGGGUUUAGAAACUGUACUUUGAUGUUUUCAGAAAGCUCACCAGUGGUGGGAGGAUGGCUUGGCACAUUAUCCAGGAUGAGGAAAAUUGUGAAAUCCAAUUUUGUUUUUCCUGAAAUACUUUCUAAAAACACCUUCCAAAAUAUCAACAAUAAGGUCACCGAUGGAAUCACGUUGUAGCCAACAUGUUUGUGUUUUAGAAAUUGCGUUCCCCUAUUCAUUAGUUGCAUUAUAUCAGAGCACCUUGUAACUGAACCCCUAGGUCUCCUUGUUUGACGUCACUAACCAGGGUCCUCCCAUUAGCUGUAUAAGUCCCACCCUUGUUUUCAGUGGAGGCAAUGUAUUAGUAUUAUCAGUGGACUGUUAAUUGAGAAAACGAAGGUAAUGUUCUGGGAUCCUGGGUUUAAAUCCAGCCAUGGCAGAUUGUGGAAUUUGAAUUCAGUGGGGGAAAAGGAAAAUAUGGAAUUAACGAUCUAAUGAUGACUAUAAAAUCAUUGUUGAUUGUCAGGAAAAACCCAUCAUCAAUAUCCUUUAGGGAAGGAAAUCUGCAUUUCUCACCUGGUCUGGCCUACAUGUGACUCCAGAAACAUCAAUGUGGUUUGAUUCUUAAUGGCCUUCUGGGCAAUUAGGGAUGGGCAAUAAAUGCUGGCCUGGCCAGAGGUAGCUACACACCAGCUGUGUAUUUAAAAAAACAGAAUUUACCGAAACGCAAUAACUCACAUUUAUGCAAAUUAAACUCCUUUUGCCACUACCCAGCCUGUUGGCCCAAGUGGCCAAGUUUCCUUUGCAAUCUCAGAUAACCUUCUUCACUGUCCACUAUACCACCGAUUUUGGAUCUUUGGUGAAUUUCAUCUUGUAGAUAGUAAACACCGCUGCUGCUGAGUGCCAAUGAUGGAUUGAUUGAAUGUUUGUGGAUGUGGCGCCAGUCAAGUGGGCUGCUUUGACCUGGAUGGUGUCAAGCUUUUUGAGUGUCGUUGGAGCUACACUCAUGCAUGUUACCUGCAUUAGAAGCACAUAAUUAAAUAGAGCAAACUCGGAGGGAACAGAAGUUUCAAGUUAUUUCUGAUAGCGUAUGUGCAAAAGUUAAACAGCAAAUGAAAAGAUCAUACAUAAUAUGCCAUUGAACCCAACAGCCUUACUUUGGGAGAUUAAAUAGAGUUAGACACAAAACAGAUAAUAAAACAUGGUGGUGGCAAAAAGGGGUGAAAAUAAGCAACAAACUAGGUAAUUGAACUGAACCUCAUGGUCAAAAGAAAAGAAAGCGCUUUUUUCCAACACUUACCCAAACAUCUGGUAUGUCUCAGUACAACAGAUGAGAACAGGCUGAGAAAGCAGAGAGCAUUGGCCUGAAGCAGUGUGCCGUGGGAUAAACAUGGUUGUAAAUGAAGGAACAGCUCCAGAGCCCAGACAAAGCAUGGGGACUAACCCGGCCCUCCCAAGACAUUCCAGGGAAUCAACAGGCUGCAACUGGCUAGGAAUGGGAGGUUUCGAAGUGAAAGUUUUGCAAGAUAAUGAACAGUUUUAGGAUUACAUGAGAAAGACCAGCUCAGUAAAUUACAUGGUGGGAACCAUUGCGAAAAGCAUGAGAUGGCAUUGAUGUGGAUGCAGAAGCGAUAUUGCAAGUAUUUGAUGUUGAUUUAAUGUUCAUAGAAAAUUAAUUCUCGACCAGGUGAGGUUAAAUGGAAGAAAAUGAACCCAGGUGAAAGAAUGGAUUUGUUGACAGAUGAUCCUUAUUGGUUGGCAGAAAAUAACUCUUAUGACAUGACUGGACUGUAGUCAGAGUAUCAGAUCAGGCUUCAUUAGACCUUUUACAGGCCAGAAAGGAUUUAAUGCUCAAGAAAGUAGAGUAGAUUGGCAGGCAUCUGAACUCCAAAAAGCUGGACAAGGUGUAUAUUCGAGGGGAAAGCGAUGGACCAUUAAAUAUGUGAAUAGGUGUUUCACUUCUUAGGCUGCAGAGGAGAAAGUAAGCAAAGAAAAUUGUGCAGACAGCCAACAUUCCGACAUACUCAGAUUAAUUCCUGCCAGCAAUCAUCUCGAAAUAUCUCCUUUGAGGCUCAUUUGUUAUGCUAUUGUUUUAAUGCCUUGGGCAUUUAAUUACAUUAAAGUCUCCACAUGAAUAUAAGUUGUUUUUGUUGCUUGCGUAGUGUGCUUGUGGAGAUUUCAUAAUACCAGAGCAAGUGAAAUUAAUUAUGUACUUUUAAAAUCAAAACUGUAAUGCAAUAAUCACAUAGUGACUGUAGAGGGAGCUAGUGGCAUGGACAUUCACAUUUCUCAGCAUGACACCAUGUUAAGAUCGAACAAGUUAACAGCAUGAUCUCUAACGCUGGCACAGAUGGAAUAUAUGAUUUAUCCAUGUUGCUUGUAGAUAUAGUUGGAAACAUGUAUGAGAAAAAAGGACUGAUGAGCUAUCAUUUCCAAAGGCAGAGUGAGCUGAAAUGAAAACAGAAAAAUCUGGGAAUAUUCUGCAGAUCAGGGCCGCAUUGGUGAGAGAGAAACAUAUGAACAUGUGAACAGCAUCUCAGGAGCACAAAAGCUUUUGUGCUCCUGAGAUGCUGCUUGGCCUGCUGUGUUCAUCCAGCUUCACACUUUAUUAUCUUGGAUUCUCCAGCAUCUGCAGUUCCCAUUAUCUCUGAACAUGUGAACAUACAACUUAGGAAUAGGAGUACGCUAUUUGGCCUCCUGAGCCAGCUCCAUCAUUCAAUAUUGUCUUGGCAGAUCAUCCAACUGAGUACCAUGCUUUUGCCCUAUGCCUUUUGAUCUCUUUAACCCUAAGGAUGAUGUCAAACUCCAUGAAAGCAUUCAAUGUUUUGCCUUACCCACUUUCUGCAGCAGAGAAUUCCGCAGGUUCUCCACUGUCUGGGUGAAGAAAUUUUUCCUCAUCUCAGUCCUAAGUGGUCUACCCCAUAUAUUUAAAACCCGACCCCUAGUUCUGGACUCUACAGUCAUCGGAAACAUCCUUCCUGCAUCUACCCUGUCUAGUCCUGUUAGAAUUUUAUAGGUUUCUGUGACAUCCCGCCCCUCAUUCUUCUAUAUACUUCUGAGCCGUGCUGUGCCAUUCAAAUAGCUACUUCUGUCUUUAAAAGUAUUCAAUGACUUUCCCCUUCUGGUUUCUGAAAGAGAGUUCCACAGGCUGACGCCCCUUUGAGAGAAAUAAAACUGUCUGUAUUUCUACAUUCUGUGGGAGACUCCCUUUUUUUUAAUCAGUGUCACUUAUUUAACAUCACUCCAAUAAGGAUAAACAUCUACUCAGUCAAGUACCCACUUAUAUAUUUCAAUGAAGUCGCAUUCAAUUAUUCUAAACUCCAGUAGAUGCAAGGGUUAAUAUUUUAAGUUGAUGAUAUGCCAUGGAAAGACCUGAACAUGAGAUCUUGUCUUUUGUUCUGGUUCGCAGACUCAUUGAUCUAAAUAUCUCCUGGGUUCGGGGUAGUCAACAUUACCACCUUAAUUUCUUUUAAAUCUUAUUAUUCUGCAGUUUAGGAAUUUUAAACAAUGUUGAUUAUACACACUUUAAAAUGGACAAAAAGUAGCUCACCUUUCUACUAAUGGUAACCCACAUUUAGAUUUGCUAUUUCAAUAAGGUCUUGUUGUCAUUAAGGUGAUGGUGCUGUUUGAAUGCAAAAUACUGCCUACUUUAGAAGAAAAUAAAUCUUUCUUGAAAUUUUGAUCAAUUUGAAAAAGUCAACAAUGUUUCUGUGAGAGUUUAUCCUCAUUAAUUGGAAAAGGAAGAUGCCUUUGGAUUGGAGCAAAGUGAUUUAUGUAUCUCAACAAGAUAAAAUUGUUAGUGUAAUGCCAAAACCAUAUUAGCAAUUCACACAGCGAAUAUAACCCUGGCAGGAAGGAGUUUUGCAACAACAUUCAAGUAUUACAGGCUGCAGUGUAAUUGGAGUAUCAUGCAGUUUUGAUAUGGGGCACCGAGUGUAGUAUGAUGAUAAUUUAUAAAUUAAUGGAAUGAUGAUGUACAAAAUGAUUUACAUUGGCAUCAGUAGCCUCAUGCUAUUGGAACUCAGAAAUUUAAGGAGAGGACUUUAGAGCUUAAUGUUGCCACUGGUGAGGUGAUUAAUGUCAGGAAUGCAAAAUAGGUUAGAAUUGACUAAAUGUGGAGAUUUCAGAAGGGUGUAGAGUUAGGGCAGGUUACAGGGAGAGAAAGAGAGAGGGCAGGGGGAGGCCUUGGUUGAGAUUAAAAGCAAAGAUAAGAAACUUUAAUCAGAGCUAAUGGCAACUGCAGAUGCUGGAGAACCCAAGAUAACAAAGUGUGAAGCUGGAUGAACACAGCAGGCCAAGCAGCAUC